rnacentral:lncRNA from 1 species
UUUCGCAAUUAUUGGGAAUUCUUUCAAUUAAUAUCAACAGUAAUGAGGUUUCUGCUGAGCCAAAAGUAAGUUAUGUGAGAAAUACAAGGGACAGGAAGACAGACUCCAGUCAGACUUCUACAUGCACAAUCAAAGGGAAAUGGAAUGUAUGAGGUCAAUUCAAUUCAUAAAAGAAAAUAUUAAAGUGUUGAAAGUGUUAAAUGGGACACGCAGAACCCAGUAAGUAAAUUAUAAUUAAGAGCAUUUAAUAAUUUUAAAUUUCAGGAAGCUUUAACAGUUAUAAUUGCAUUUAAAAACCCCAUAGUAUGACUCUCUUGUUUGUAUGCAGACAGAGCAUACAUAAUAGCUAGCACAGAAAACUCUCAGUACAGAUGAAAUGAAACCUGGCCCCAAGGGCCAGCACUAGAAACUCCCAGGUAUCAUACUCUGUAUUAUUUUUAGAAAACUGGUUGUAUGUAACAUUAUUCUAUAACUUGGUAUUAAAAGUAUAUUUCAAUAAAUGUAUACCAAUUAAGACAGGAUAAUUAAUGUUUUAUUCUUUGGUCAUAAGUUUCUGUUCGGGGCCUUUUGGCUUCUCCUAUUUUUUUCAUAAAAUAUAUAACAGUUUGUUGUGACCCUAGUGACCCCACUGUAUUAUAGAGCACUAGAAUUGUAGCUGUAGAACAAUGUCAUUGAUUAUUUUCGUAAGAUAGAUAGAAGUACAGUUUUAGAUCACUAGUACAUAAAAUUUUAGACCUAUUUAGUUUGGUUAAAGAAAUAGUAAAGGUAAAUUAAUGGCACUGAAAAAUAUUUGGAUAGUUUAUUUCCUUAGUUCAUUUUGGUACUUUAUCCCUCACUUUUGUAGAUUUGCUGACUGUAUCCUGGUCACAUGACUGAAGUCAUAGAGAAGGAUGGUCAGGGAACCUAUGGUUGCAGCCUGAUUGCUUUCGUCCUGAGAUGUUCAAUAAGGUCUGGAAGUGCCACAGGGACCAAGCUCCUGUUUUCCUCCACUGCUUCUUCGGUGCUAUGCAUGCAGUGGAGCAGGAGUAAGUGUUUUUACUUCCUUUAACCUAUUGCAGAAGAGAAACGUGAAAAAUUAUAAUGAAAAUCCUAUCCACAUGAUAAAAUUAUUUUUAAGUUUCUCUAUUGUUGAAGCAAAUUUUUAUUAUUACCACAAAUAACCUACUUUGGAGAUAACAUUUUAAACGCAUAGGUUCUGACACAUCCAGGGUAUGCGUCCUGGAAAUGAACUACCUGUUUCCAUAACCUCUCAGAUAAUUUAUGGGAAAAGCAAAAUUUGGAAGGUACAAUUUUUUUACCUGAGAAUUUACCACUGCUAAGUUUCUAAUUUAGAACUGUGGAAACAAAGAAGAACUACAUGCCUCUACCUUCAAAGAGUUUAUAAUUCGUAGAGACGAUAAAAGAUACAAAGAGAGCUUGCUGUACAGACAUGAUUUCAAGUGAUGGUGUCCUGAAUUAAUGUUAC